rnacentral:misc_RNA from 1 species
GAUGAAGAACGCAGCGAAAUGCGAUAAGUAGUGUGAAUUGCAGAAUUCAGUGAAUCAUCGAAUCUUUGAACGCACAUUGCGCCCUUUGGUAUUCCUUAGGGCAUGCCUGUUCGAGCGUCAUUUAAACCUUCAAGCUAAGCUUGGUGUUGGGUGACUGUCCGCUUCACGGCGGACUCGCCUCAAAAUUAUUGGCGGCCGGUACAUUGGCUUCGAGCGCAGCAGAAACGCGAACUCGGGCCCGUCGUAUUGGCUCCCAGAAGCUAUCUUCACAAUUUUGACCUCGGAUCAGGUAGGGAUACCCGCUGAACUUAAGCAUAUCAAUAAGGGAGGA